AGCUCAGCUGGUUAGAGCAUGGCGCUAAUAACGCCAAGGUCACAGGUUCGAUCCCUGCU
rnacentral:tRNA from 1 species